GAGCCCCUUUACCUAGGAGUACCAUCAGGUGCGUCCAAAAUAGUUUCUUAUCCUAUGGUGCAUUAGGUGCAAACUGUGCUCCUAUCUUGCGCCAAAUCUAACUUUGUCUCUAAACAGACUGAAGUGAGAUUCCAUAUGACACGUGUCAUCUAGGAUUUCCAUCUGGUGUGUCCAAAUUGAUUUCUGAGCAUAUGGUAUGUUCCAUGCAAAUUGUACUCCUAACUUGCAUCAAGAUUAGCACUAUCUCUAAACAGACCGAACCGGAGCCUCCACUUGAGCCUCUUCACCUAGGAGUACCAACAGGUGCUUCCAACAUGGUUUCUUAGACUUCGGUGCACUAGGCACAAACCGUGCACAUAUCUUGCACCAAAACUAAUACUGUCUCUAAGCACACCAAAGUGAGAUUCCAUAUGACACAUGUCAUCAAGGAGUUAUAUCGGGUGUGUCCAAAUUAAUUUCUAAGCAUAUGGUACGUUCCAUGCAGACCGUGCAUAUAUCUUGCAUCAAGAUUAGCACUAUCUUCAAAUAGACCAAAUCGAGCUUUCACUUGAGCCUUUUACCUAGGAG
rnacentral:lncRNA from 1 species